GCCUUCGUGGUGUAGAGGUCAGCACGCUGGGCGCGUAUUCCAGAGGUCCGUGGUUCAAACCCCGGUGAAGGCG
rnacentral:tRNA from 1 species